GCAUAUCAAUAAGCGGAGGAAAAGAAACCAACAGGGAUUGCCCUAGUAACGGCGAGUGAAGCGGCAACAGCUCAAAUUUGAAAUCUGGCCCUCGGGUCCGAGUUGUAAUUUGUAGAGGAUGUUUUUGGUGAGGUACCUUCCGAGUUCCCUGGAACGGGACGCCAUAGAGGGUGAGAGCCCCGUCUGGUUGGAUACCGAUCCUCUGUAAAACUCCUUCAACGAGUCGAGUAGUUUGGGAAUGCUGCUCUAAAUGGGAGGUAUAUGUCUUCUAAAGCUAAAUAUUGGCCAGAGACCGAUAGCGCACAAGUAGAGUGAUCGAAAGAUGAAAAGCACUUUGAAAAGAGAGUUAAAAAGUACGUGAAAUUGUUGAAAGGGAAGCGCUUAUGACCAGACUUGGACUUGGUUGAUCAUCCUGGGUUCUCCCUGGUGCACUCUUCCAGUUCAGGCCAGCAUCAGUUCAUCGCGGGGGAUAAAGGCUUCGGGAAUGUGGCUCCCUCGGGAGUGUUAUAGCCCGUUGUGUAAUACCCUGCUUUGGACUGAGGUUCGCGCAUCUGCAAGGAUGCUGGCGUAAUGGUCAUCAGCGACCCGUCUUGAAACACGGACCAAGGAGUCGUCUUCGUAUGCGAGUGUUCGGGUGUUAAACCCCUACGCGUAAUGAAAGUGAACGCAGGUGAGAGCUUCGGCGCAUCAUCGACCGAUCCUGAUGUUCUCGGAUGGAUUUGAGUAAGAGCAUACGGGGCCGGACCCGAAAGAAGGUGAACUAUGCUUGUAUAGGGUGAAGCCAGAGGAAACUCUGGUGGAGGCUCGCAGCGGUUCUGACGUGCAAAUCGAUCGUCAAAUAUGAGCAUGGGGGCGAAAGACUAAUCGAACCUUCUAGUAGCUGGUUUCCGCC
rnacentral:rRNA from 1 species